rnacentral:lncRNA from 1 species
GGUGCCCCUUAUAUAAGGGAUGAAGAGGUGCCACACAAGACACCAAGGGACGCUAACUCUUAGUGUCCCAACUCCCUUACACGUUCCAAUUAAUUUUCAAUGUGGAAACCAAGGAGUCAAGGUAUGGAAUAAGAAGAGUUUCAUCUGUAGAAGGACUCCUCCUCUGCCAGAAAAAAUCUAAAUGCCAUAAUAUGGCCGGGGAAAUUAAGGAAGCAUGUGGAAUUAAAGAGUCCAAGACAAGGUGGACUCUUCCACAUUCAACGCACAAAAUA